AUGUAAGUAUAGAAAAGUAACUCGAAAACCGCAUCAUGGCUAAAGAAACAUCUCAUUCUUGGUUUCUCUAAUGCUGCAGCGGAUAUAUGGCUCCAGAAUAUGCAUUAUGGGGUCAACUGACAGAGAAAGCAGACGUGUACAGCUUCGGGGUUGUGGCAAUGGAAAUUGUGAGUGGAAAGAGUAUAACGAAACAGCAGGGAGAUGUCUCGCUUAUCAAUUGGGUAACCAUGGAGCUUUUGUUUUCUCUCUCUCUAGCCUAUACAAUGCACAAUUUGUAUAGUUGAAUAUCUGUAUAUCUGUUUCCAUAAGUUUUCUGAAAACUCCUUCUUAAAACAAAUCUCAGGCACUGACGCUGCAACAGACAGGGGAUAUAAGAGAGAUCAUAGAUCCAACGCUCGAAGGUGAGGUCGACAGCAAUGAAGCAGUAAGGAUGAUCAAUGUUGCUCUCAUUUGCACAAACUCAUCUCCUUCAUCGAGGCCAGCAAUGUCAGAGGCUGUGAAAAUGCUCGAGGGAGAGAUCGAAAUAACACAGGUUAUGUCAGAACCAGGUUUAUAUGGAUACAACUGGAGCAUCUCAAAGCUGAGCGACCUUGAUAUACAUGGUAGCUCGAGCACGUCGGGUGUGACCGAUCAUUCAACAACCUCAAUAAAAUCCUCUGUUUCUGGUUCUGGUUCUGAUCUCUACCCAUUAUACCCACAAUCCAUUAUCCAAACUCCAACCGUGAAAUUAUCAUCCUCGUCACCGUAAAAUCAAAAACUGUGCACAUUGCCUUGUUUCUUAUCACUUUUAUGAGAGGUUUGUGCGGUUAUCUUAAAGUUAUAGGUAUAUCAUUAAUAUUGUCUGAAACUGUUCUAUAAGCUAAAUUUAUAUACAGAUCCAAAAGCACAGGUAUCUCUUAUAGACCAUAUAUAUGAGCUUUGAAAUUUCUUCCGAACUCAUUUCCAUUGGAUUGACUCGGAUGACAUAAUAUGGACAUGAAAGAGUAACUCUAUGAUCAUUGCACCAUAAUCCAGAGUUAUUAUUAUAGUAAACCAAAAGAACUAAGAAAAGGUUUCAAAUUUUUUUAAUUCUGUAAACCGGGUCGGUCAAGGUGCGUGUUACUCUAACCACCAGUUCCUCUUUCUCUCUCUCUCGAUCUCUCCUAAUUUUGGGUGCGGUGGCAAUGGAAAUUAUUAGUGGAAAGAGUAAUACGAAACAGCAGGG
rnacentral:lncRNA from 1 species